UGUCUGGGGUAGAUAUAAUGUUAAGCGAUAGAUAACCAAAGUAUUUUAUUGUUUUAGUAGGUUUUUGGAAAAAAUAGAUUUUGAGAUAGCGUAUUAUGUAUUGUAAAAGAAAGUUUAGUUUGGCAGUGAAGGAAAGUUUAUAUUUUGUACCUUGUGUAUCAGGGUUUACCUAAAAAAGGUUAAGAAGUCUAAUUUUCUCGAAUUCAGAAGAGUUACUUGGUUAUUUUUUUAUUGUGGCAAAAAUAUUAUUAAUAAUUAAGUAGGGGUGAAAUGUCAGUCGGUUCUGAAUAUAUCUAGUUUUUUAAGAAAAAAAUUGAAUUUUUUUUUAUUUUGAGUAAUUUUUUACUUUGUUAGUAAUUUACUGGGUAAGGGCAAUAAUUUAGGGGUUGAGCUUUAAAUUAAAAUUAUAUAAUAGGGUUUUAUGUGUGAGAAUAUGUAGGAUUUAAAGUUUCUGUUUAGUGAGUUAUAUCUUAGUUUUUGGUAAAUAUAAGAUUUAUUAGGAUUAUUUAUGUUUUUUAUUAAAAUUUAGAUUUUAAUGUAUAUGGUUUAGUAAAAAUGGUAAAAUUAGUAUAAUUGAGUUUUAGGCUUUUAAGUUUUUAAAGGCUUACUUAAGGAAUUCGGCAAAUUUAUUUCCCACCUGUUUAUUAAAAACAUGGCUUUUUGAGUAUAAUUUAAGGUCUAGCCUGCCCAAUGAUUAAGUAUUAAAUGGCCGCGGUAUACUGACCGUGCAAAGGUAGCAUAAUCAUUAGUUUUUUAAUUGAAAGCUUGUAUGAAAGGUUGAAUGAGGAAAUUACUGUCUCAAGUAAGAUUUAUUGGAAUUUUAUUAUUUUGUAAAAAGGCAAAAAUGUACAUGAAAGACGAGAAGACCCUAUAGAGUUUAAUAGUUUAAGUAGAAAGGAUGAUUGGGAUACUUUUUUUUAUUUGUUUAGAUUAUUUGGUUGGGGUGAUUGAAUAAUUUAAUGAACUUUUUUUUAUAUUUUUCACUGAUACGUGAAUAUUUGAUCCUUUGUUUAAAGAUUAAAAGAUAAAAUUACCUUAGGGAUAACAGCGUAAUUUUCUUAGAGAGUUCUUAUCGAAAGGAGAGUUUGCGACCUCGAUGUUGGAUUAAAAUUUAGGCUUGGUGUAGCAGCUAAGUUAUUGGGUCUGUUCGACCUUUAAAAUUUUACAUGAUCUGAGUUUAGACCGGCGUGAGCCAGGUUGGUUUCUAUCUUUAUGAGGAUAAUAUUUUUUAGUACGAAAGGACCAAAAAUAUACUAGAUUUAGUUUUAUUUUGAACAUUAUU
rnacentral:rRNA from 1 species